CAAUAGCGUAUAUUAAAGUUGUUGCAGUUAAAAAGCUCGUAGUUGGAGUUCAGAGUGAGCUCGUCCGGUCGGCCUUAUGGGUCAGAACUGGUUGACUCUCUCUUGUUUGUGGAUCCUGUCAGCAGUUAACUCUGUUGAUGUGGAGUCCACAUCGUUUACCUUGAAAAAAUUAGAGUGUUCAAAGCAGGCGUUUGCUUGAAUAUAUUAGCAUGGAAUAAUAAGAUAGGACCUUGGUUCUAUUUUGUUGGUUUGCACGCCGAGGUAAUGAUUAAUAGGGAUAGUUGGGGGUAUUCGUAUUCAAUUGUCAGAGGUGAAAUUCUUGGAUUUAUGGAAGACGAACUACUGCGAAAGCAUUUACCAAGGAUGUUUUCAUUAAUCAAGAACGAAAGUUAGGGGAUCGAAGAUGAUUAGAUACC
rnacentral:rRNA from 1 species